rnacentral:rRNA from 1 species
CAGUCGAGCGGUAGAGAGAAGCUUGCUUCUCUUGAGAGCGGCGGACGGGUGAGUAAUACCUAGGAAUCUGCCUGAUAGUGGGGGAUAACGUUCGGAAACGGACGCUAAUACCGCAUACGUCCUACGGGAGAAAGCAGGGGACCUUCGGGCCUUGCGCUAUCAGAUGAGCCUAGGUCGGAUUAGCUAGUUGGUGAGGUAAUGGCUCACCAAGGCUACGAUCCGUAACUGGUCUGAGAGGAUGAUCAGUCACACUGGAACUGAGACACGGUCCAGACUCCUACGGGAGGCAGCAGUGGGGAAUAUUGGACAAUGGGCGAAAGCCUGAUCCAGCCAUGCCGCGUGUGUGAAGAAGGUCUUCGGAUUGUAAAGCACUUUAAGUUGGGAGGAAGGGCAUUAACCUAAUACGUUAGUGUUUUGACGUUACCGACAGAAUAAGCACCGGCUAACUCUGUGCCAGCAGCCGCGGUAAUACAGAGGGUGCAAGCGUUAAUCGGAAUUACUGGGCGUAAAGCGCGCGUAGGUGGUUUGUUAAGUUGAAUGUGAAAUCCCCGGGCUCAACCUGGGAACUGCAUCCAAAACUGGCAAGCUAUAGUAUGG